rnacentral:rRNA from 1 species
ACGUCAAGUCCUCAUGGCCCUUACGGGUUGGGCUACACACGUGCUACAAUGGCGGUGACAAUGGGAUGCAAUGGGGCGACCCUGCGCAAAUCUCAAAAAGCCGUCUCAGUUCGGAUUGGGGUCUGCAACUCGACCCCAUGAAGUCGGAAUCGCUAGUAAUCGUGGAUCAGCAUGCCACGGUGAAUACGUUCCCGGGCCUU